AUUGAACGCUGGCGGCAGGCCUAACACAUGCAAGUCGAGCGGAUGAAGGGAGCUUGCUCCUGGAUUCAGCGGCGGACGGGUGAGUAAUGCCUAGGAAUCUGCCUGGUAGUGGGGGAUAACGUCCGGAAACGGGCGCUAAUACCGCAUACGUCCUGAUGGAGAAAGUGGGGGAUCUUCGGACCUCACGCUCUCAGAUGAGCCUAGGUCGGAUUAGCUAGUUGGUGGGGUAAAGGCCUACCAAGGCGACGAUCCGUAACUGGUCUGAGAGGAUGAUCAGUCACACUGGAACUGAGACACGGUCCAGACUCCUACGGGAGGCAGCAGUGGGGAAUAUUGGACAAUGGGCGAAAGCCUGAUCCAGCCAUGCCGCGUGUGUGAAGAAGGUCUUCGGAUUGUAAAGCACUUUAAGUGGGGAGGAAGGGCAGUAAGUUAAUACCUUGCUGUUUUGACGUUACCAACAGAAUAAGCACCGGCUAACUUCGUG
rnacentral:rRNA from 1 species